rnacentral:rRNA from 1 species
AAUUUUGGUCAUUGGGGGAAACCCUGAUCCAGCCAUCCCGCGUGUUUGAUGAAGGCCUUCGGGUUGUAAAGUACUUUUGGCAGAGAAGAAAAGGUAUCUCCUAAUACGAGAUACUGCUGACGGUACCUGCAGUAUAAGCACCGGCUAACUACGUCCCUGCAGCCGCGGUAAUACGUAGGGUGCAGGCGUUAAUCGGAAUUACUGGGCGUAAAGCGUGUGUAGGCGGUUCGGAAAGAAAGAUGUGACAUCCCAGGGCUCAACCUUGGAACUGCAUUUUUAACUGCAGAGCUAGAGUAUGUCAGAGGGGGGUAGAAUUCCACGUGUAGCAGUGAAAUGCGUAGAUAUGUGGAGGAAUACCGAUGGCGAAGGCAGCCCCCUGGGAUAAUACUGACGCUCAGACACGAAAGCGUGGGAAGCAAACA